AGUAAAGUCAGCUAAAUAAAGCUAUCGGGCCCAUACCCCGAAAAUGUCCCAGGGCCUUUACUA
rnacentral:tRNA from 1 species